rnacentral:lncRNA from 1 species
UAGAAUUGUGUACGCAUGUUCGUAGGGGUAAUAUGCAUGUGUAUAUGUGAGCGUCUGCAUCAUCUAUUGUGUGACUCGAAAAAAAAAGUUCGACUGCAAAUAGGAAAAGCCGUGAGCACUGUGGGGUUUGUUUAUGGGCGUGGUAGUACGCGGGAAGACCCAGCUCGUCUGUUUUGUUCGUUACGAAUGGAUGUACAGUUCGAGUCACGCGACAGAAGCUCGUGGACGUAGCAAAAGGAAAAAAAAAACUUAGCCAAGAAGAGACAAUGGGACGGAUGCAUCGGGAACGAGCAAAGAGGUUUGUUGUUGAAAUGUUGACGAGUGAGAAUAUAGUCCCAGGAUAAUUAAGGCAUGCAAAUGUACUCCGUUCCAAAAUAAAUGUUCAUUUAAAAAAUUUCAAACAGAUUAAUAGUUAGAAAUAUCUAGGAGUAUGAUGUAAAUAGUGCUGGCUGUCUUGUUUUCUG